UACGUAGGUGGCAAGCGUUGUCCGGAUUUACUGGGCGUAAAGAGCGCGCAGGCGGCCGAGUAAGUCGAAUGUGAAAGCCCCCGGCUCAACUGGGGAAGGUCAUUCGAUACUGUUCGGCUCGAAGAUAGGAGAGGGAAGCGGAAUUUCAGGUGUAGUGGUGAAAUGCGUAGAGAUCGGGAGGAACACCUGUGGCGAAGGCGGCCCCCUGGGCCGGCCCUGACACUGAGACGCGAAGGCGUGGGGAGCGAACGGG
rnacentral:rRNA from 1 species